GGGUUGUGAGGUUAAGCGACUAAGCGUACACGGUGGAUGCCCUGGCAGUCAGAGGCGAUGAAGGACGUGCUAAUCUGCGAUAAGCGUCGGUAAGGUGAUAUGAACCGUUAUAACCGGCGAUUUCCGAAUGGGGAAACCCAGUGUGUUUCGACACACUAUCAUUAACUGAAUCCAUAGGUUAAUGAGGCGAACCGGGGGAACUGAAACAUCUAAGUACCCCGAGGAAAAGAAAUCAACCGAGAUUCCCCCAGUAGCGGCGAGCGAACGGGGAGGAGCCCAGAGCCUGAAUCAGUGUGUGUGUUAGUGGAAGCGUCUGGAAAGGCGCGCGAUACAGGGUGACAGCCCCGUACACAAAAAUGCACAUACUGUGAGCUCGAUGAGUAGGGCGGGACACGUGGUAUCCUGUCUGAAUAUGGGGGGACCAUCCUCCAAGGCUAAAUACUCCUGACUGACCGAUAGUGAACCAGUACCGUGAGGGAAAGGCGAAAAGAACCCCGGCGAGGGGAGUGAAAAAGAACCUGAAACCGUGUACGUACAAGCAGUGGGAGCCUCUUUUAUGGGGUGACUGCGUACCUUUUGUAUAAUGGGUCAGCGACUUAUAUUCUGUAGCAAGGUUAACCGAAUAGGGGAGCCGAAGGGAAACCGAGUCUUAACUGGGCGUUAAGUUGCAGGGUAUAGACCCGAAACCCGGUGAUCUAGCCAUGGGCAGGUUGAAGGUUGGGUAACACUAACUGGAGGACCGAACCGACUAAUGUUGAAAAAUUAGCGGAUGACUUGUGGCUGGGGGUGAAAGGCCAAUCAAACCGGGAGAUAGCUGGUUCUCCCCGAAAGCUAUUUAGGUAGCGCCUCGUGAAUUCAUCUCCGGGGGUAGAGCACUGUUUCGGCAAGGGGGUCAUCCCGACUUACCAACCCGAUGCAAACUGCGAAUACCGGAGAAUGUUAUCACGGGAGACACACGGCGGGUGCUAACGUCCGUCGUGAAGAGGGAAACAACCCAGACCGCCAGCUAAGGUCCCAAAGUCAUGGUUAAGUGGGAAACGAUGUGGGAAGGCCCAGACAGCCAGGAUGUUGGCUUAGAAGCAGCCAUCAUUUAAAGAAAGCGUAAUAGCUCACUGGUCGAGUCGGCCUGCGCGGAAGAUGUAACGGGGCUAAACCAUGCACCGAAGCUGCGGCAGCGACGCUUAUGCGUUGUUGGGUAGGGGAGCGUUCUGUAAGCCUGUGAAGGUGUGCUGUGAGGCAUGCUGGAGGUAUCAGAAGUGCGAAUGCUGACAUAAGUAACGAUAAAGCGGGUGAAAAGCCCGCUCGCCGGAAGACCAAGGGUUCCUGUCCAACGUUAAUCGGGGCAGGGUGAGUCGACCCCUAAGGCGAGGCCGAAAGGCGUAGUCGAUGGGAAACAGGUUAAUAUUCCUGUACUUGGUGUUACUGCGAAGGGGGGACGGAGAAGGCUAUGUUGGCCGGGCGACGGUUGUCCCGGUUUAAGCGUGUAGGCUGGUUUUCCAGGCAAAUCCGGAAAAUCAAGGCUGAGGCGUGAUGACGAGGCACUACGGUGCUGAAGCAACAAAUGCCCUGCUUCCAGGAAAAGCCUCUAAGCAUCAGGUAACAUCAAAUCGUACCCCAAACCGACACAGGUGGUCAGGUAGAGAAUACCAAGGCGCUUGAGAGAACUCGGGUGAAGGAACUAGGCAAAAUGGUGCCGUAACUUCGGGAGAAGGCACGCUGAUAUGUAGGUGAAGUCCCUCGCGGAUGGAGCUGAAAUCAGUCGAAGAUACCAGCUGGCUGCAACUGUUUAUUAAAAACACAGCACUGUGCAAACACGAAAGUGGACGUAUACGGUGUGACGCCUGCCCGGUGCCGGAAGGUUAAUUGAUGGGGUCAGCGCAAGCGAAGCUCUUGAUCGAAGCCCCGGUAAACGGCGGCCGUAACUAUAACGGUCCUAAGGUAGCGAAAUUCCUUGUCGGGUAAGUUCCGACCUGCACGAAUGGCGUAAUGAUGGCCAGGCUGUCUCCACCCGAGACUCAGUGAAAUUGAACUCGCUGUGAAGAUGCAGUGUACCCGCGGCAAGACGGAAAGACCCCGUGAACCUUUACUAUAGCUUGACACUGAACAUUGAGCCUUGAUGUGUAGGAUAGGUGGGAGGCUUAGAAGUGUGGACGCCAGUCUGCAUGGAGCCGACCUUGAAAUACCACCCUUUAAUGUUUGAUGUUCUAACGUUGACCCGUGAUCCGGGUUGCGGACAGUGUCUGGUGGGUAGUUUGACUGGGGCGGUCUCCUCCUAAAGAGUAACGGAGGAGCACGAAGGUUGGCUAAUCCUGGUCGGACAUCAGGAGGUUAGUGCAAUGGCAUAAGCCAGCUUGACUGCGAGCGUGACGGCGCGAGCAGGUGCGAAAGCAGGUCAUAGUGAUCCGGUGGUUCUGAAUGGAAGGGCCAUCGCUCAACGGAUAAAAGGUACUCCGGGGAUAACAGGCUGAUACCGCCCAAGAGUUCAUAUCGACGGCGGUGUUUGGCACCUCGAUGUCGGCUCAUCACAUCCUGGGGCUGAAGUAGGUCCCAAGGGUAUGGCUGUUCGCCAUUUAAAGUGGUACGCGAGCUGGGUUUAGAACGUCGUGAGACAGUUCGGUCCCUAUCUGCCGUGGGCGCUGGAGAACUGAGGGGGGCUGCUCCUAGUACGAGAGGACCGGAGUGGACGCAUCACUGGUGUUCGGGUUGUCAUGCCAAUGGCACUGCCCGGUAGCUAAAUGCGGAAGAGAUAAGUGCUGAAAGCAUCUAAGCACGAAACUUGCCCCGAGAUGAGUUCUCCCUGACCCUUUAAGGGUCCUGAAGGAACGUUGAAGACGACGACGUUGAUAGGCCGGGUGUGUAAGCGCAGCGAUGCGUUGAGCUAACCGGUACUAAUGAACCGUGAGGCUUAACCUUACAACGCCGAAG
rnacentral:rRNA from 1 species